rnacentral:rRNA from 1 species
GGGGUAGCAGGGUAGCAAUACCGCUGACGACCGGCGCACGGGUGAGUAACACGUAUCCAACCUACCAUUCACUCGGGGAUAGCCUUUCGAAAGAAAGAUUAAUACCCGAUAGUAUAGCGAUAAGGCAUCUUAUUGCUAUUAAAGAAUUUCGGUGUUUGAUGGGGAUGCGUUCCAUUAGAUUGUUGGUGAGGUAACGGCUCACCAAGUCUUCGAUGGAUAGGGGUUCUGAGAGGAAGGUCCCCCACAUUGGAACUGAGACACGGUCCAAACUCCUACGGGAGGCAGCAGUGAGGAAUAUUGGUCAAUGGACGAGAGUCUGAACCAGCCAAGUAGCGUGAAGGAUGAAGGCCCUAUGGGUCGUAAACUUCUUUUAUAGGGGAAUAAAGUGCGGAACGUGUUCCGCUUUGUAUGUACCCUACGAAUAAGGAUCGGCUAACUCCGUGCCAGCAGCCGCGGUAAUACGGAGGAUCCGAGCGUUAUCCGGAUUUAUUGGGCUUAAAGGGAGCGUAGGUGGACGUAUAAGUCAGUUGUGAAAGUUUGCGGCUCAACCGUAAAAUUGCAGUUGAUACUGUAUGUCUUGAGUGUACAAGAGGUGGGCGGAAUUCGUGGUGUAGCGGUGAAAUGCUUAGAUAUCACGAAGAACUCCGAUUG